CCUACGGGAGGCAGCAGUGGGGAAUAUUGGACAAUGGGGGAAACCCUGAUCCAGCGACGCCGCGUGAGUGAAGAAGUAUUUCGGUACGUAAAGCUCUAUCAGCAGGAAAGAAAAUGACGGUACCUGACUAAGAAGCCCCGGCUGACUACGUGCCAGCAGCCGCGGUAAUACGUAGGGGGCAAGCGUUAUCCGGAUUUACUGGGUGUAAAGGGAGCGUAGACGGCAGCGCAAGUCUGGAGUGAAAUGCCGGGGCCCAACCCCGGAACUGCUCUGGAAACUGUGAAGCUGGAGUGCAGGAGAGGUAAGCAGAAUUCCGGGUGUAGCGGUGAAAUGCGUAGAUAUUAGGAAGAACACCAGUGGCGAAGGCGGCUUUCUGGACUGAAACUGACGCUGAGGCACGAAAGCGUGGGGAGCGAACAGGAUUAGAUACCCCUGUAGUC
rnacentral:rRNA from 1 species